rnacentral:sRNA from 1 species
GCUGGGUGGGGUGGCCCACGCCUGUAAUCCCAGCAGUUUAGGAGACAGAGGCAAGAGGAUCACGGGUUCAAAGCCAGCCUCAGCAACAGAGAGGAACCAAGCAACUCAGUGAGAUCUUGUCUCUA